rnacentral:rRNA from 1 species
UAAGGAAUAUUGGUCAAUGGACGCAAGUCUGAACCAGCCAUGCCGCGUGGAGGAUGAAGGCCCUCUGGGUUGUAAACUUCUUUUAUAUGGGACGAAAAAGGGUCUUUCUAGAUCAACUGACGGUACCAUGUGAAUAAGCACCGGCUAACUCCGUGCCAGCAGCCGCGGUAAUUCGGAGGGUGCAAGCGUUAUCCGGAUUCACUGGGUCUAAAGGGUGCGUAGGUGGGUUGGUAAGUCAGUGGUGAAAUCUCCGAGCUUAACUUGGAAACUGCCAUUGAUACUAUCAGUCUUGAAUAUUGUGGAGGUUAGCGGAAUAUGUCAUGUAGCCGUGAGAUGCAUAGAUAUGACAUAGGACGCCAAUUGCGAAGGCAGCUGGCUACACAACUAUUGACGCUGUAGCACGGAAGCGUUGGUAGCGAACA